AUUUAAAUAAGAAGACAGGAGCAGUUGAAGUUAGAUAAAUGAAUCAGUGCUAUAUACAGUACAGAAAAGUUUAUCCUCACAGGGAAGGAUACUAGCCGUAGAUGUAAUAAAAAUGCAGGGAAAGGGCAAGAAUGCAUUUGGCAGGACAACCAUUAAUAAUUUUGACUCAGGAUAUGUGAUAUGUAAAGGUGCAGGAUGGGUUCUGAUCCGCCACAAUAGCUUAUUCAGAUUGAUGAGGUCUUUAGGAAGAUCUGACGCAGGAAGGUUUUGAUGAGGAAGCAAAAUAGCACUCAAAUGCCUCAUGAUUCACCAUUUACUGUAAAGAGUAUAUGAACAUCUAAUAUUUUGACUUGUUUUUGGGAAUGGGUGGAUCUCUUUUGUAAACUAACUACUUGGUUUUUGAGAAUCUAUAUAAAAUUUU